AGAGUUUGAUCCUGGCUCAGAACGAACGCUGGCGGCGUGCCUAACACAUGCAAGUCGAGCGAGAAAGUCCCCGCAAGGGGAUGAGUAAAGCGGCGAACGGGUGAGUAACACGUGGGCAACCUGCCCUUCAGUCAGGAAUAACCCCGCGAAAGCGGGGCUAAUACCGGAUGAUGUCCUUUGAGGGCAUCCUUGGAGGACCAAAGGGGGCGAGCGAAAGCGGCUCCCGCUGAAGGAUGGGCCUGCGGCUGAUUAGCUAGUUGGUGGGGUAGCGGCCUACCAAGGCGACGAUCAGUAGCCGACCUGAGAGGGUGACCGGCCACACUGGGACUGAGACACGGCCCAGACUCCUACGGGAGGCAGCAGUGGGGAAUAUUGCGCAAUGGGCGAAAGCCUGACGCAGCGACGCCGCGUGGGUGAUGAAGGCCUUCGGGUCGUAAAACCCUGUCGGGUGGAACGAAUCUCCGCCUCGCUAAUACCGAGGUGGCUUGACGGUACCACCGAAGGAAGCCCCGGCUAACUACGUGCCGGCAGCCGCGGUAAUACGUAGGGGGCGAGCGUUGUUCGGAUUUACUGGGCGUAAAGAGCGCGUAGGCGGUUCGAUUAGUCGGAGGUGAAAUCCCUCGGCUUAACCGAGGACCCGCGUCCGAUACUGUCGAACUUGAGUGCAGGAGAGGAGAGCGGAAUUCCCAGUGUAGCGGUGAAAUGCGUAGAUAUUGGAGGAACACCGGUGGCGAAGGCGGCUCUCUGGACUGUCACUGACGCUGAGGCGCGAAAGCUAGGGGAGCAAACGGGAUUAGAUACCCCGGUAGUCCUAGCCGUAAACGAUGGGCACUAGGUGUGGGAGGUAUCGACCCCUUCCGUGCCGCAGCUAACGCAUUAAGUGCCCCGCCUGGGGAGUACGGCCGCAAGGUUGAAACUCAAAGGAAUUGACGG
rnacentral:rRNA from 1 species